AUGCAGGUUUUCUUUUUUAUUCUGGAGACAAAGACUGAGCCCAAUAUGCUAAAACAAUUCACACUGUGUGCAUACUACAGGCUUGUUAGAACAGCACCGAGAGUGACAAAACACUGUUUAAUGCCCUCCCCCAGGUCAGUUCAGACCCCUUUGUUUCUUAAAGCUGACAUACAGCAUAUAAUAAAAUAAAUAAAUAAGUAAAAUAUCCUUUGUUGUUUGUUUGUUUAUUUGUUUUUCUCUGAAAAAGUCAGGGUCUUGUUUGACAGAAAAUACCUUUAAGUAUAUCAUUAAUAU
rnacentral:lncRNA from 1 species